rnacentral:lncRNA from 1 species
CACGUUUCCAUCCCUCCCGUCAGCUCGCGCCCUCCUCCAGGUUUUCCGGCACAGACCUUGGAGGGCAGCGUGGAAACUGGGUAACUGCAAGCAAGCUGAGGUAAGCUGCACGUUCCGCAUGGACGCCCUCAAGCGUGAUUCCCAAUUCCAAGACCCCGCGUCCCCACCGCCCGCUGACGAGAACGAUACCCGUGAGCACCGCUCCUCUCCAGUGGCCCGUUCAGUCACUCACAAGCGCCAGUUCUCAGAGGAGCCGCGGAAUCGCUGUCUUGGACAGUGAAGGGAGCUGGCGUUGGUAAUCACGCUGCAACUAGGAAUCCCUGACCUCGCCGAACCCUCAACUCACUGCCGGCUCCGAGUUUCAUAAAUUGCCGCGGAACAACCUCGACGCACUCUUGCGCACGCGCACCAGCUGUGGAAGGAACCCCCUAGGAGCCCCCGCGACCCGGAUCGGUGAGGUAGACCAGGCCUUUGCCAGCCCCGUCCCUUUCUGCAGGCCCCGUCCCUUUCUGCAGGCCCCGCCCACGCCGCACACUUGGAACUCUGGCCCUGUGAAUGGACUCACGUGGCAAUGGAUGCAGCAAUAUUCAGUUUCCAGAAUCAGCAGCUCCGGCAGCAGUGUCCUGUGCUGAUGGUGUUGGCAGGAGCUUCUUGACCCUGGGAGCAGAUUCAAUGUCACCUGGAGGAACAUUUCGUCCUCUACAUUUGCAUGGGAGAAUAACAUUUUUAAAGAAAAAUCAGGAGAGAUUGGCGUGCUGCCUUCUAGUGCAUAAUCCCAGGGUCAGUGAGAACUCCUAGCAUCUGACAAGUCAUAAAUCACACUCAUCUCUUCCUUACAUUCCCCUCUCUGUCUCUUGCUACUUUGGCUCAGGUCAAAUCAGUUCAAGAAACAUGUGUUGGACACUUAUAAUGUAUGAUGACUGCUCUUAUUUUCUGUGAAUAAAGAUGAUUCAGAUGUGAUCUCUACCCUUGACUAUCUUACAGUCACAGAGAAAGACAAAUAAUUUUAAUAUAAUUUGUUAAGAGCUGUGAUGGAGGUAAGUACAAGAUGCUGUAGGUAUACUUGUGCAUCUAAGAUAGAUUAGUUGUUUGUGAGUGUGUGUAUUGGUGUGUGUAUGUCCGUGUGUAUUGGAGGUAGGAAUAGGGAAAGUUUGUGGGAUUGUUUCUGGAGUAUAUUUUUCCUAGACAGAAUCUUAAAAAAUUCGUCUGGCUAUGGUUAUGAGCCAGAUGAAGAAGGGAUAGAAAUCAUAGCAAUAUCCUGUAACUUCACUUUCAUUAAAUUAACCACUGAUUGUAGUCAUCACUUUAAAUUUUGUGAAGAAUGCUUAGUUUUAUGCUCAAUAUCUUCUUUUGUCAAAACUGAGAAAGAUUGUUUGUCUAUCAUUUAAUUUUCCUUGAGAUUUAGAUACAUUAUUGAUACAGUUGUAAUCAAAUUCUAAAAAAAAAAAAAAAUUCUACUCUAAGAAGAGUGAAAAUUGUGGCAGAAAGAGUACUGAGUCUAAAGAUCCUGAGCUGAACCAAAUCCCGGAGCCUCUAAGAACUAACCAGGUAGCACCUUCCACCAGAUGGACGGCAAUUCAAAAUGUAGCAAUGUUUAAAUUACCUGUAUUCUCGAAAUUUAUUUUUAUAUCAGCUGUUUUGAUAAUACACUAUUUUUCUCUUUAGAAGCAAUUCUCUAUUAGUUUGAUGUGAUAGAUUAUAUAGAUUCCUUAAACCAAUAUUGGCUGUGAAUCUAUGAUAUUCCAAGGACCACUGUAGGCACUGGGGAUGAAACAAUUUGGCCCCUCCCCUCUGGAGUUCUUUAGUGUUAGGAACUGGGUUUUCAGUCUGUAUCCCCAGUCUUUAGCAUAUGCUUGGUACACAGUAUUUGCUCAAAAAAUAAGAUUGAUUGAAUAUUCAAAGUAUGAUGGGUGCCCAAGGAAAGUAAUGAUACCUUGAUUUAGUGGGCAUGUCUUUGAGUAGAGGGACUAUGCGGAGCAAAAAACAGUGGGGUGUAAAAAUGCAGUGUGUUCUAGUUAGUUGGUAUGGGAUAAGGCUGGUAAGGUUGCCUGCAGAUGGAUACGGGAGGGUGGAAUUUAUCUAUAUUCAGUGUGGGGCCGUAAGUAAUCAUCAAGCAGAGAUGUAAUUAUUCAUAAUUAUGUUUUAUUUAUCAGUUAUUGAAUGAGUUGAUUUCCCUUGAAAUAAAGGUAGGCACUUCUAUAACUGCUAGGCACUACAGUUUUUAGAUAUUGGCAGCAUCUAUCAAAAGUAAAGAUAUGCCUACCCUUAUAUAUUCCAUCUUGGAUAAAGCUCGUACCUAGCAAUUCGAAUGUUUGUAGUUUACCUUAACAGAUAUAUUGGUAACAGUGAAAAACAAUAUAUGUAUAGGAAUGUUCAUAACAUAAUUGUUUGUGGUAGCAUAAAUUGGCCCCAAUAUUAAUGUUCAUCAAUAAGAGAAUAGUUAACUAAGUUUUGGUUUAACUGUAGUUUAACUGUAGUUAAACUGUAGUGUGGAAUAUAAUGAAAUCAAUAGCAAGACAUAGGUAUAGCUAUAUAUAUUGGUCAAGAAGUGUCUCCAAGAUAAUAGCGAUUGUUGGGAAAAUUAAGUCAUUAAAUCAUAUGUUAACUACAAAAGUGUGCAUACUCAUGUACAUACACAU